AUGAUGGUGUUAACAUUGUUACGUGUUAAUAAACAGAAUGACCCAAAUGAAGAAGAUGAAGCAAGUUUGGAUUUUGAUGGGAUUCUACCGCAGAAGAAGCAAGUUGAUGUUGCUUCCAUUGCUGCAGUUCAAGAAAAUUAUAAUACUCAACUGAGUUAUAAGCAUAGGAUUUUUUUGUUCUUGAAUGGUGUUUUAGACAAAGACAGGGUUUUGAAACAUGUUAAAAAAAACCAGACCGAACCGGUGGGUUAG